AAUGAACGUUGGCGGCGUGGAUUAGGCAUGCAAGUCGUGCGAGAACCGUAGCAAUACGGGGACAGCGGCGAAAGGGAGAGUAAUACGUGGGUACCUACCCUCGGAUUCAGGAUAGCCGUGGGAAACUACGGGUACUACUGAAUAACGUCUUCGGACCAAAGGUGUGAUUCCGUCCGGGGAGGGGCCCGCGUCCUAUUAGCUAGUUGGCGAGGUGACGGCUCACCAAGGCGAAGAUGGGUAUGGGAUGUGAGAGCAUGAUCCCACUCAUUGGGACUGAGAUACUGCCCAGACACCUACGGGUGGCUGCAGUCGAGAAUCUUCGGCAAUGGGGGAAACCCUGACCGAGCGACGCCGCGUGCGAGAUGAAGGCCUUCGGGUUGUAAAUCGCUGUCAGUGGGGAGGAAAUGCCGGUGGGUUCUCCCAUCGGUUUGACCUAUCCGCAGAGGAAGGACGGGCUAAGUUCGUGCCAGCCGCCGCGGUAAAAC
rnacentral:rRNA from 1 species